rnacentral:rRNA from 1 species
UGGGGAAUAUUGGACAAUGGGCGAAAGCCUGAUCCAGCCAUGCCGCGUGUGUGAAGAAGGUCUUCGGUUGUAAAGCACUUUAAAGUUGGGAGGAAGGGCAGUAAGCUAAUACCUUGCUGUUUUUGGACGUUACCGACAGAAUAAGCACCGGCUAACUUCGUGCCAGCAGCCGCGGUAAUACGAAGGGUGCAAGCGUUAAUCGGAAUUACUGGGCGUAAAGCGCGCGUAGGUGGUUCGUUAAGUUGGAUGUGAAAGCCCCGGGCUCAACCUGGGAACUGCAUCCAAAACUGGCGAGCUAGAGUAUGGUAGAGGGUGGUGGAAUUUCCUGUGUAGCGGUGAAAUGCGUAGAUAUAGGAAGGAACACCAGUGGCGAAGGCGACCACCUGGACUGAUACUGACACUGAGGUGCGAAAAGCGUGGGGGAGCAAACGGGAUUUAGAUACCCCUGGUAGUCCACGCCGUAAAACGAUGNCAACUAGCCGUUGGGUUCCUUGAGAACUUAGUGGCGCAGCUAACGCAUUAAGUUGACCGCCUGGGGAGUACGGCCGCAAGGUUAAAACUCAAAUGAAUUGACGGGGUCAUAGCUGUUUCCUG